UGCUAUUCGGCGAUAGAUGGAGUUACUGU
rnacentral:sRNA from 1 species